rnacentral:RNase_P_RNA from 1 species
GGAGUGGGUUGGACCACCGCUGGUGAUUGGGACGACUGGCAGCAGUCGUUUUCGGUUGCGGGAGGAAAGUCCGGGCUCCACAGGGCAGGGCGCCGGGUAACGCCCGGCGGGGGUAACCCCAGGGAAAGUGCCACAGAGAGCAGACCGCCGGCCGGGAAGGUGUUGCAUCUUCCGCCGGCAAGGGUGAAAGGGUGCGGUAAGAGCGCACCGCGCCUUCCGGUAACGGAAAGCGGCAAGGAAAACCCCGCCUGGAGCAAGACCAAAUAGGGGGAGGCCAAGAACGGCCCGUUCGCUCCCCGGGUCGGUUGCUGGAGGUGGUCGGUAACGAUCAUCCUAGAGGAAUGGUGGUCAUCGCGACGCCCGUGGGGAAGGGGGUCGCGGGACAGAACCCGGCUUACAGACCCGCUCCGACU